AAGACUAUAGACCUGCGGAGUACCUGCGGAGGGAUCAUUACUGAGUUAGGGUCUUAUUUGGCCCAACCUCCAAACCUUUGAGUACCUUGCAAAGCAUUGAUUUUUCCUUGUUGCUUCGGUGGGUUGAAAACACCCACCGAACCACAGGAACAACAAACUCUUUUGAAAGGUGCAGUCUGAAGUUUAGAUACUAAAUAAAUUAAAACUUUCAGCAACGGAUCUCUAGAUCGGAAGAGCACA
rnacentral:misc_RNA from 1 species